rnacentral:rRNA from 1 species
UACGAAGGGGGCUAGCGUUGCUCGGAAUUACUGGGCGUAAAGGGCGUGUAGGCGGCUUCUUAAGUCAGGGGUGAAAUCCUGGGGCUCAACCCCAGAACUGCCCUUGAUACUGAGGAGCUUGAGUCCGGGAGAGGUGAGUGGAACUCCGAGUGUAGAGGUGAAAUUCGUAGAUAUUCGGAAGAACACCAGUGGCGAAGGCGGCUCACUGGCCCGGUACUGACGCUGAGGUGCGAAAGCGUGGGGAGCAAACAGG